AUUGAACGCUGGCGGAAUGCUUUACACAUGCAAGUCGAACGGCAGCACGGACUUCGGUCUGGUGGCGAGUGGCGAACGGGUGAGUAAUGUAUCGGAACGUGCCCAGUCGUGGGGGAUAACGUAGUGAAAAUUACGCUAAUACCGCAUACGAUCUAUGGAUGAAAGCGGGGGAUCGCAAGACCUCGCGCGAUUGGAGCGGCCGAUAUCAGAUUAGGUAGUUGGUGGGGUAAAGGCCCACCAAGCCAACGAUCUGUAGCUGGUCUGAGAGGACGACCAGCCACACUGGAACUGAGACACGGUCCAGACUCCGACGGGAGGCAGCAGUGGGGAAUUUUGGACAAUGGGCGAAAGCCUGAUCCAACCAUUCCGCGUGCAGGAUGAAGGCCCUCGGGUUGUAAACUGCUUUUGUACAGAGCGAAAAGGUUUCUACUAAUACUAGGAGCUCAUGACGGUACUGUAAGAAUAAGCACCGGCUAACUACGUGCCAGCCGCCGCGGUAA
rnacentral:rRNA from 1 species